AUUGGAUACAAAGUAAGCUGUAAGUAGUAUAACUGCCCAUGUAAUCACCUGUUAUGUUGUUUUUUUAGAUUUGCACUGUAUGGAUGGCACAGGAAGAGAACAAGACUACAAGAACAUCUUAUUAUGAAUGUAUAUGUAUGUGAUCCUCAAAAAAUUAUUUUACAAAACAAGAUAGAGAAAGAGCUUUAAAAUCCCAAGGAUCCUGCAAAAUGUUUAUUUGGUGUACUAGUCGAAUAAUAGUAUCUAAAAAUAUUGAAACUAUUUUAAAACACAUUACGGGCAUGAGGAUGAUAUAGAGCACUUACAUAAAUACCAAAAUCAGAUAAAUAUCUCUUCAAAGUUUAUUUUGAGACUUUCUUCAAAAAUUAAACUUCAGACUGUUCAGGAUAGCAUAAUAGCAUAGGAGGCGAAUUAAAAAGAAUUGAUUUACUUACAAGAAAAGAUAUCACAAACAUUAAACUCUCUUAUGGCAUUGAUUUGAAAGAUGGGUAUAUGUACAAUGAUGAUGCAACCAGUGUUUAUUUUUGGGUUGAAUGCUUACAGACUCAUGUCCAAUAUUAUUUUACAAACAACAGGGCAUACUAAUGGAUAUUCAUUCUGAAUUUAACAUUUAUGAUUUUUGUCUUAUUUUCCUUAAUACUGUGCCAAAAGAAAAUGUUAAUUAAGUUUGGUAAAUCCUUUAUCGCAAUCGAUGGAACUCAUGGGCUCAAUUCCUAUGACUUUGAACUUAUGACAGUAUUAGUAAAAGAUGAAUUUGGGAAUGGAUUUUGUACUGCUUUCUUAUUUUCAAAUAGAAAAGAUACCUACUUUAAUUUACCAAUUUUUUUAAAUACAUGUCUGUGUUGGUAUUAUAUGUAUAGUCAAAUGUUUUCAUAUCAGGCAUAAGCGACACCUUUUACAAUGCCUCGUCAAAUGUAAUGGGUAUUGCUCCUAAUAGACUGUUAAGUGCCUGGCACAUAGAUAGGGCAUGGUAAGUAAAUCUUAAUAAAAUAUCUGAUUCUGAAAAAAAUCCUAUUAUGUAUACAAGAUGUAUUAAUGAUGGUUUAGAGAGUAUUAAUAGCUUUUUGGGUAGACUUCUAAGUGAUGUAGAUACAUACAAUUUUAGUAAGUAUUUCCAGUAGAACUAUAACAUCCAACAAUAGGCCUAUUGUUAUAGGAAGGGGUUGUGGAAUUAAUACCAAUAUGACCAUUCAAAAUUUUCAUAAAAUUUUGAAUAAAAGGGUAUCCAUUAGUUGUUAUCAGUUAAGUUUAAAACUUGGUACUCAUGGAGAGCUAUACCAUAAUAUAUAAUAGGUAUAUCUCAUAAUAUUACACCUCAUAUUGCUCACUCAUUACAAUAGUGAGCAAUAUGAGAUGUAACAUAUUAUAGUAUAAGUCUCUGCAUGACCAGAUUAACAUGUUUGGUCCCCAUCUCAAACAAGCUCCACUUAGCUGGUACCACAUACUUAAAUCAUUUAUUUAGUUACACAGUACUACUCACAUAACUUAUGUGUCGUCAGUACCUUCCGUAAAACCUUCGUCACGUAAAGCCAUACGUCAUGGCCACUGAAUGUGUUAAAGCUUGUUAAUGUAGGAGAGUUAUACUAAAAUAUAUAUAUAUAUUAUAUUGCCUUAAAUAGAAAAAAUAUCUUAUUUAAAUUGUAUCCAUGUAGUUUUAAUGAAAUUAAUUGAUUAAUUGAUUUAAUGAAAUAAACCUUUUAAUCAAAAAAGUGUUGUUUACUUGUGUACACCCAGCCAUAUCCUGAUCAUAGAUAAAUAAUAUAGUAUUACCGGAUCCUGAUAUGCAGACUCCAAUAGGGCUUUUCAUCGAUUGUCAUUUGUUUCGAGCUU
rnacentral:lncRNA from 1 species